ACGGAAGGCAGCAGUGGGGGAUAUUGCACAAUGGGGGAAACCCUGAUGCAGCGACGCCGCGUGAGUGAAGAAGUAUUUCGGUAUGUAAAGCUCUAUCAGCAGGAAAGAUAAUGACGGUACCUGACUAAGAAGCUCCGGCUAAAUACGUGCCAGCAGCCGCGGUAAUACGUAUGGAGCAAGCGUUAUCCGGAUUUACUGGGUGUAAAGGGAGCGCAGGCGGUAACGCAAGCCAGAGGUGAAAACCCGGGGCUCAACCCCGAGGAUUGCCUUUGGAACUGUGGAACUGGAGUGCUGGAGGGGCAGGCGGAAUUCCUGGUGUAGCGGUGAAAUGCGUAGAUAUCAGGAGGAACACCGGUGGCGAAGGCGGCCUGCUGGACAGUAACUGACGCUGAGGCUCGAAAGCGUGGGGAGCAAACAGGAUUAGAUACCCUGGUA
rnacentral:rRNA from 1 species